rnacentral:rRNA from 1 species
GACGAACGCUGGCGGCGUGCUUAACACAUGCAAGUCGAACGAUGAAGCUAGAGCUUGCUCUGGUGGAUUAGUGGCGAACGGGUGAGUAACACGUGAGUAACCUGCCCCGAACUCUGGGAUAACUGCUGGAAACGGUAGCUAAUACCGGAUAUGACCAAUGAAGGCAUCUUCUGUUGGUGGAAAGAAUUUCGGUUCGGGAUGGACUCGCGGCCUAUCAGCUUGUUGGUGAGGUAACGGCUCACCAAGGCGACGACGGGUAGCCGGCCGGAGAGGGUGAUCGGCCACACUGGGACUGAGACACGGCCCAGACUCCUACGGGAGGCAGCCGUGGGGAAUAUUGCACAAUGGGCUCAAGCCUGAUGCAGCAACGCCGCGUGAGGGGCGACGGCCUUCGGGUUGUAAACCUCUUUUAGUAGGGAAGAAGCGAAAGUGACGGUACCUGCAGAAAAAGCACCGGCUAACUACGUGCCAGCCGCCGCCGUAA